UCGUUAGCUCAGCUGGUAGAGCAGCGGACUUUUAAUCCGUUGGUCGCGGGUUCGAAUCCCACACGAC
rnacentral:tRNA from 1 species